rnacentral:lncRNA from 1 species
AAAAAACAAACAAAAUAGGUAAUAAAACUCCAAUACAAAGCAGAAGACAUGCUUACUGAUAUUCUUGUAUGGGUUGUACUUGGCUCUUGAAUUUUUCAAAUAAAAUGCACAUCAAUCUAUCUCAAAGCAUGUAUACACUGAUUAGGUAAACUAAGAUCCAUACAAAGUCACUUUGGUCCACUCAUGGUAAAACCUACGAGUCCAUAGUAUAAAAUUAGUCACGCAUGCCUUAGUCACUAAGUUCCUACUUCACUACAAAAACCAAACUUAUCGUAGAAAAGUUAACAUUUAGCACCAUUAACUUGCAAAUGUAAUGACACAGUACAUUCGAGUCAACAAACUCCUUUAUUUCACUGAAUCUGCACUCCUUGUUUUUUUCUUCAUCAAAGAACAGUGCAUAUAUGAAGAUGAUUUCAAGUUAAGUUACUAAAAUCUCAGAAAAAUCAAUUAAUUAACAAAUUGAUGUGAAAUAUAUAUUGUUUGUUCAUAAAAAGUCAAGAAUUAUACAAAAACAAAAAAAAAACUGAUACAAAAUAAUCACAAGGUUAAGC